rnacentral:rRNA from 1 species
AACGAACGCUGGCGGCAGGCCUAACACAUGCAAGUCGAACGCCCCGCAAGGGGAGUGGCAGACGGGUGAGUAACACGUGGGAACCUUCCCAACAGUACGGAAUAGCCCAGGGAAACUUGGAGUAAUACCGUAUAUUCCCGAGAGGGGAAGGAUUGAUCGCUGUUGGAUGGGCCCGCGUCGGAUUAGCUAGUUGGUGAGGUAACGGCUCACCAAGGCGACGAUCCGUAGCUGGUUUGAGAGAAUGACCAGCCACACUGGGACUGAGACACGGCCCAGACUCCUACGGGAGGCAGCAGUGGGGAAUCUUGGGCAAUGGGCGCAAGCCUGAUCCAGCCAUGCCGCGUGAGUGACGAAGGCCUUAGGGUUGUAAAGCUCUUUUGCCGGGGACGAUAAUGACGGUACCCGGAGAAUAAGUCCCGGCUAACUUCGUGCCAGCAGCCGCCGUAACAC